GGGGAUCAACACUGCGACAAAGUAAUUACAAGUAGGGGAAGACACCUAGCCUAGCCACUGACCUCGUCAGAGACGCGGGUUGUCCUAAUGACCCAGGCAGAGGAGGCUACCCUUUCAGCCAUGUGGGGCUCGGGGUGCACUCACGUCCCCCACUUGUGGAUCUCACAAGUGUUACACUCCUGAUCAGCUGACAUCUAAGUUAGGUUCAACAUUUGAGCUGUUAUUGUAUUUAAAUGGACCUGGUUCAGCACAUGAACGCCGUAGAUCGCUUCUCAUUCUAGUUUUUAGAUAAAUGAAUUUCUUUAUUCCAACAUCUGCAUGAAUUAUGCAUUAUUACAAGUCCCAACCAUGUGCUACGAAAGUUUCCAACAAAUAGUAGAAAAAUACAAAACAAAUUUUUUAUACCAAGAUUAAAUGCGAAGUAUAUUAGUAGAUAUCCACUUGUGUUUGGGAAGAUCCAUAACCGCUGUUUCCAAUAUACGGUUGUCCAAAUGAAGUAUUACUUAUGGAUACUGAGCCACAAAUUAGACUUGGAUUCUGGAAGUUUUCAUCAUGAAGGUGUUUGUAUGUAUGUUUAUUCUACUAUCUGUUAGAAGAUUGGCUGGGUGUUUGCAAAUGAAGACGGAUCACUGCAAUAUUUUCAAGAUUUUUUUAGCAUUUAUCAACAAAACCUUUCAAGAACAAAGCAUGCAUAACCGUACAGGUCCUUCGUUUUAGAGAAGACACCUAUGGCUAGAGGCAUUCUUGUAAGUUCACACUCCCUCCCCCCUCCCCCUCUCUCUCGUCGUACAUAAUCCCCAAUAAGUAUUCGCCCCUUCUUUUAAAUAUGACACGAAGUGUUGUGAGGAAGUUUGUCCUUAAAAAAAAAGAACAAAGCAGGCAUGAAGCACCCAAGUGUCAUCCCAUAUUCCCAUAUGCAAUGUGUUCCUUUCCUGUUUACAAUC
rnacentral:lncRNA from 1 species